rnacentral:rRNA from 1 species
UACGAAGGGGGCUAGCGUUGCUCGGAAUCACUGGGCGUAAAGGGCGCGUAGGCGGCCAUUCAAGUCAGAGGUGAAAGCCCAAGGCUCAACCUUGGAACUGCCUUUGAUACUGUUUGGCUUGAGACCGGUAGAGGUAAGUGGAACUGCGAGUGUAGAGGUGAAAUUCGUAGAUAUUCGCAAGAACACCAGUGGCGAAGGCGCUUGACUGGACCGGUUCUGACGCUGAGGCGCGAAAGCGUGGGGAGCAAACAGG